GCGGGCAGCGGCGCAGAGCCGUCAAGAGGGCAGCGCCGCCAUUUCGGUCUCUAUUGCUGCUCCACGCCCGCCAGGGGGCGGCCUCCGCCGAGGGCCUCACCACGCGCCGGGGGCCGCGCGGCGGGAGCCCGGUACCGGACGAGUGGCAGCGCCGCUGGGGGUCGUCCUCCGCGGACAGCCGCGCCGUGCUGUCGUCUCCGUUCGGUGUCCGUUCCCUGUCCGUCCUCCGGGGAAGACACCUGGGCGGGCGGCGGCGCCCGGAGGGGUGGAGGGAUAUGAAGCCUUUCAGGAAGGCUUUCCAGAGGAAGAGCUAACAGACUGCUCUGAAGUCAAUACAAACUUCUGUGAAAAAGCAGGGUUUGAAGGACCUGUGUUAUAGAGCAACUGUUUUCAGGUACCUGCAUUAAAUCUCAGCCUUGCUUUUCUGCCAGCUGCUGCAGAGCAGAAGAUUAGCAGACAUGUCCACUGCACUCAAACAAGUCUUUAAUAAAGACAAGACUUUCCGCCCAAAACGCAAGUUUGAACCUGGAACCCAGAGGUUUGAACUUCACAAACGAGCACAGGCGUCUCUGAACUCAGGCGUGGACUUGAAAGCAGCUGUGCAGUUGCCUAGUGGAGAAGACCAAAAUGACUGGGUUGCUGUUCAUGUUGUUGACUUCUUCAAUAGGAUCAACCUCAUUUAUGGAACUAUCUGUGAAUUCUGCACAGAGAAGACCUGCCCAGUGAUGGCUGGAGGCCCUAAGUAUGAGUAUCGGUGGCAGGACGACAUGAAAUACAAGAAGCCCACAGCAUUGCCAGCACCCCAGUAUAUGAAUCUUCUUAUGGACUGGAUCGAGGUGCAAAUCAACAAUGAGGAUCUCUUUCCUACAAAUGUAGGUGUUCCCUUUCCGAAGAACUUCCUUCAGAUCUGCAAGAAGAUACUUUGCCGGCUUUUUCGGGUGUUUGUUCACGUCUACAUCCAUCACUUCGACCGCAUCAUCGUUAUGGGGGCUGAGGCUCACGUCAAUACUUGUUACAAGCAUUUUUAUUAUUUUGUGACAGAGUUCAAUCUCAUCGACCGCAAAGAAUUAGAGCCUUUGAUGCAGAGACAGUCAGCCACAGUAGCGAAUGGAUAGCAUUGGGGCUGGAAGUGGUGCAGUCAGUGGAGCUCAGUGUACAAAAAUGGUGAAGCUGGUAAUUGCCUCCAUGAGGAUGGAGUUUAUCUGCAGGAAAGAGAUGACAACCAGGAUGUGUCACUAAAAGGCUAUCCACUGAAGAAAAGCAAAGUCCAGUUUUCUUCUUACUGCAGAGUUCAAGAAUGUCACAGCCCUUGUGGACUGAGCCUG